AAGCUUUCUAGUAGGACAAUGUAAUAAUAUUAUAAAUGACAAUGAUAAUCUUCUUAUUGACUAAAGGGGCCCUCUUCAGAUUCUUGUGACUUUUCAUUUGAUAUAGCCACCAGCUAUAACAUGAAUGUAUUAUGCACGAUGCACACAGCUCACUUACAAUGAGGCAUUGGCUUGAGUAAUUUUAUUUAUUAAGAAGUUUUUCCCCCUUUCAUUCAAUAACUAGUUUUUGGAUGCUCCCAUACAAUCAGAGGUGUGAUUAGUUAUAUUGAUGAUUUUGGAUGAGUAGAUGGUUAAUUUAUGGACAUAGGGUCAUUCUUUGUUGCCCAUGGUGAGGGUAAAAUGACAAUGUUGUCACACUUAUAUCAUAAGAAUGAUAUUUUUAUCGGCAGACUGAUUCUUUUAAUAAUCUUUAUUAUAUAUUUCUUGGUCUCUUUCUAAAAUAUAUAUAAUUGAUAAUCAUGCAGUUGGUGCAUUUUGUAAUUCAUUAUAAGCAUUCCCUCUUUUACAUUCAAAUAUAGAGACGAUUUGUGGUGAAUGAUUCUCUGCUCAGUUUGUUUUGGCUAGAGAGGAACAUCUCACUAACUGGAUUUCGUUUCUGCCUGAUAAUAGAAAAUAGAUACUCUGCAACCUGGGCUGUACACCACAGAUUCAAUACCUGUUUCAGCAUAUGCUAACUAAGCAUUGUGCUUUUCUUUUCUUUGUUCAUUUCCCCCUGGCAAGGACUGCAAACAAUCCAGAAACCAAAUGAUAGGAAAGAUAAAAGGAUUUCCAAAUUGUGCAUGUUAAUUGAUUUCUGCUUAGAUUGCUGGACUAAAGUAGGCAAGGUAAACUACAAAAAGUCAAAUUUGCAUGAUUUAUAUGCGAUAUGAUUAAGAUUGAUGGAUGGAGAUACCUCAACACCUUUACUAUGAGCCAUUCAUUAGGUGAUGAACUAUUUGAGUAAACUAGUCAUGUAAAUGACAAGAAAAGAAAAUCAAUUUCAAUAUUUUUAUAACCCAUGAGGGUUAUGAUUGUUUGAUGUGUGGAACACCUCAUCUCUAUCCAUCCAUCACUCUGCCAUUUGUCAGUUAGGAUUAACAUAAGAACUGAUAGUAGUGAUAGGAUCUUACCUAUUUUUUUAAAAACAAGAAGAAAUUGUUCAGAAUAAAGUGAUGGAGAAGCCAUGUGACACAGUCCCAAAUCAAUAACUUGGCAUAAAAGGAUUCUUCAAGCUGGAUCCAAUUUUCAUGUUGGGGAAAAGUCCUUGUUGAUUGAUCGUUUAGUAGUUAAAAUUCUUGUUACAUGCAGGUUGGAUAUUGGAAAUUUAAGCUCAUGUGAUAAUUUUGUUGCAACGAUGUUGAAUUUUUUUUUUUUUUUUUUUUUUUUUUAUAUAUAUAUUUGUUUCCGACUCAGCUUAUGCUGCUGCAGCCAUAGUAAUUCUUAAGCAAUUGAUGGUGUGCACCGCUUUAUUUCAUCUUAAUUCUUUGUGAACUUAAAUGAUAAUAAUGAUGCUGGCAAUAUUGCAGAUACAUAGAAGUGAAAUUCAAAGGUUUUAUGGUUCUCAAAUGUGGAAGUUGUUCAAGCCCAUUUAAUCAUGGGCACAAAGUUAAAGAUUGGGAAAUGGGAUAGGAAGAGAAAAAUUAACAUUGUUGGCGAGAAGAUUUCUUCAAAGUCGACACUAUUUAGCAAUUAGUAAUUUCAUUUGGGAAUGAGAAUUGAAAUCGAAAGAAUUACAAGGUUCAUUUUAAGAUCCAAUUUGAUCUCAUGGUUAUUUAUUUAAUUGCAAAGCUAUUAGUCCUCCGUGGGAUUGUCUUCCUAUCUCAUCAACAAUCAAUGUGGGCUCCAUGUGUCAUUGUUUUUCCAAGUUUACCAUCAGUAGUCAGGUAUGAUAGAAAUGAAAGUGACUUGCACUUACUUUUAGGUGCAGAAACACCUGUUAGUUCCUAAUUCACUUAUGGAUUGUUUUAUAUACGUUCUAUUUAAAUCGUCAUCAAACCAUAAAUUUGAGUAAUUUGGCUAUUGUUGUUUUGUUAUUAAAAAAAGAAUCAAACGCAGGCCAUUACAAUCUGUUAUGAUCUAAUCUCUUUGAUAUGGGCUUUUCUACACGCAAGUUGUAGAGCAUAAUUUUCUGAGAAAUUCCAUAUUUGAUGCCACCACAUAAAUUAUGUGAUUGACAUGGACCAAGAGAAACUUAGGUGUGGAUCCUUCUGUCUUUUCCGAAAGGGCUGGAAUUUUAAGAUGCAUCAUAUUGGGCCUCAUUUUUAAUUUGUUGGUGAAUCAUAUUGUUUUGUUUUAUUUUGAGAACUGAUAAAAAUAGCUUGACGUGAACGUAGAAUCCCUAGAUGAUCAUUGAUCUUUUCCACUUCUUCCUCCUUUUCUGGACAGAUCAGUAUGGCUAUCCUUGAGGUACGAUCUUAUUCUUCUAUUUUAUUUCUCUUCUUUUGGGUAUUCUCAAUUUUCAGCAAUUUUUUGUUCUUUAGCUACCAGAAAUUUCAGAACACAAGAAACAUUUUGUUCUCACGUUUUGGAUUUUAGGGCUUCCAAUGAGAUGCUUGUUUGGCUGUAUUUGGGAUGUACACAUCCACUCUACACUUGACAUCGUGAUAUGACAUCAUGCUGCCUAAAUAAUUGGAGUAGCAUUCUAGUUAAGAUACCAGUAAAAUUCUCAUGAGAUAAACUCGAAAUAUAUUUUAUAUUUCUUUUAAGAUAAUGUAUAUAAAAAUAAUCUAGUUUAGACAGAAUGUUCAAUGAUGGUCUCCAUGAGUUUCCCAGAUUUCUUGGUUCCUGAUAGGAUAUCUGACAUAAUUUCCAAAGCAUUCUUUUAUUCUAGACUAUAGUCAUUCAGCCCAAACACAUUGUACCCACUUUCUAAUUCAAUAGUUUCACUGCUUUUAAAACAUAGAUUUGGUUAAUAGUAAAUCACAUUCGAUUUUGCAAUUUCCCAUAAUGUUUGGGAUCUUCAAUGUAGAUCACUGUCUCACUACAAUGGUUUAAUCACAUGGAAACUGAACUUUGAAUCUUAUUUAAAUGUAACACAUAAAUGGGUUGCUUUUUAUUACUGAAGCCCUGCAUCAAAAUGCAAACUUCCAUAGAGAACCAAAUCUAGUCUUGGUAACAGAAACUUUGGAUUAGCAUGGGAGUGUUGUUGACAUGUCAGUAAGAAAUUCUCUGUGCCAACAAGCUUCAUUAUUUAUUAUCACUAGACCUUUUGUAAGUUCAACUUGCUCCAAUAAGAAACAACCCACAUGCCAACUUUGUCCAGAGAGAUAAUCUGUGUACUACUGCAGGAAGGAUCUUGUCCAUCUUAACUUUUGUCAGUUUGAACCCUUCAUUGGAAUUCCCAUUGUGCGUGACCUGUCCUUUUGUAUUGCUCAAGGUGGGGACCCUUUUGCUAGGGAAUGUAGUGUAUAUCAUAAGAACCAUCCAUUUUUCUCCUUUCAAAUAGAGUACCCUCACUGUUUUUACACCCACUUCUUCAAUUGAAAAUGAAUGCUGUGGUUGCAAAAUACAAAUGAUAAUGUCCUGUACAUGAAACCUAUAUGGAUUUUGAAAACGAGAUCCGAGGAUCCAUAGACCCAGAGAGAGAAUAUGUACAUAAAAAACACAAACAACUGAAGCCUCCUGGAUGUUGUAUUAUUAUUACCUUAUUGGAAAUUUGAAUAUGAACAAGAGGGACAUGCUAGCUUCUUGGAUUUGAAUUAUUGAUUUGGACAAAUCAUGGUCUACAGCAUAUGGAGGGAGUGGGACUAGUAAUAAGGUUUCAUAGUGCAACCCACUGAUAAUGCUUGGGGUCCACACUUAUUGUCCUAUAAUAUUUUAAAUAAUAAAUUACUGAAAAUUCCUUGAUUUUUGGUUUAAUAUAUAUCAACACUUAAAAUUAGUUACCAUAUUUGAAAUUCCAAUGUAAAAAUCAUCAAGACUUGAUCUAACAUUAAUAUUAGGAAGAGUGAUUAAAACUAACUUAUUAGUUUUAUAUGAGAAAAAUUAUU